AUUGAACGCUGGCGGCAGGCCUAACACAUGCAAGUCGAGCGGAGCGGCGGACGGGUGCGUAAUGCCUAGGACUCUGCCUGGUAGUGGGGGAUAACGUCCGGAAACGGGCGCUAAUACCGCAUACUAUCAGAAGAGCCUAGGGCGGAUUAGCAUGUUGGUGGGGUAAAGGCCUACAAAGGCGACGAUCCGUAACUGGUCUGAGAGGAUGAGCAGUCAAACUGGAACUGAGACACGGUCCAGACGCCUACGGGAGGCAGCAGUGGGGAAUAUUGGACAAUGGGCGAAAGCCUGAUCCAGCCAUGCCGCGUGUGUGAAGAAGGUCUUCGGAUUGUAAAGCACUUUAAGUUGGGAGGCGUUACCAACAGAAUAAGCACCGGCUAACUUCGUGCCAGCAGCCGCGGUAAUAC
rnacentral:rRNA from 1 species